ACUACUAAAUCUUAUGAGCAACACAAUGAAUAAAAAUAAGAUAAGUGCAACAAAUUUGCGAUAUACAAACUUCGAACUGCGUUAAAAAUAUAAUAAAUUAAAAUAAUGCUUGCUGGAAAAAAAUAGCUAACAUGUCUAUCACAGUAUUGUUAUUCAUGCAAAAACUAGCUCGUAUUCUCUUUCAAAUGCGCUAUUACAAUUACGGUUGCCAUCUUAUUCUGUGAGUUUUUUUUAACGUAUUAUUAUACCAUCAUGCAAAGACAACAGCAACAACAUUAAAAAAAGUAGGGCAUACAUGCAUACAAUCAUAACAAAUACAUAACAUAACAUUUAUGAGUCUGCAUCCAUUGCACCAUUGUUCACAACCAUAGAUUAACUGUAUAAAUAAGUAAAACAAAUGAAACAUGAAAUUUGGCUUUGUAUAACCAAUAGUCACAGUGACUAAACAGAAGAUAUGAGGCACGAUGUGUUCCACUUCAUAUAACUGAUGUAUCCAUAUUGAUUGUGUCCAUGUUGUCAUACUUUAUUUCUAGAACUGAAUAACUGCAUUUCCAUGAAUGAAGAGCAGCCCUCGACCCCUCCUCUCGGGCUGAAGCUUCCUCCACUCCUGUGAAUAAGGAAAUAAAGCAUGAUGAUCUCCUUCGUAAAGUUUUCAUUACAGUUGCAUUCAAAUCAAAUUUUCUAUUAAAAGUGUAGAAUUGCUACGUUUAUUAUACUAGUAUUACAUAAUUCCCUGCAAAGAACACAUUUUUAAAUAAACCUGCUAGCUGUAACACCUCUGUCAACAAAUGUCCACACAACAAAUAGAAAUAUUAAUCAAACAUUUUAACUUAACUUUUUGUUUUUUGUUAUUGUUUAUUGUUUUAUAUCCCCAUGUAGAGGACUCGCCGUGCUUACCUAGUGGCUAGAUAAUAUAUCUGCGUGAAGUUGACCAGUUUUGGAUUUCCGAUGCCCUCUUCAGUGUGAGAAUACAGAGUUGAUUCGUGUAGGACUUCACUAAGGGCACACAUAGCCUCCUGUCCCACAGCAGUGCCCUCAUGGACAGGGUCAAUCAGCUCACACACAGUAUCUGGGGAAAGAAGCUCCUGAACUGCACAACUAACAAAAUAUACAGGCAAGCUCUUGGCAUUGAAUAACUUUGAUAAUGAAGAGGUAUGGGAUACUGAUGCUUUUCCAACUCCAUAAAACUGUGUUCAAAGGAGGUGAAAGAGGAGCCCUGUAUGCCACUGUGGUAAGGAGCACCCUGCAGACAUGACUUGAGAAAAUGAGCCCAGAACAGAGUGAUGGAUCCAUUAGUGCCUAUAAUGAAGAGUGGCGGUUGCAUUCACCCGGGAGCAUUUGGAAACCCUCAGAUUUGAGCCAAAAUCUGCCUGUUUUCCGAUGAUUGAACUUGCUGACCCUUUGCCAGUCCAUUCCCUUCAGAGAAUCGUCAUGGUGACAGAGGAGGAGACUGUAAUGAAGGCUGGGGGCCCAAACAUCAAACAUAAUUUAGGAUCGCAGAGGGGAGAUGCUAACACGAGGAGGCACCACCCAAAGGACAGAGCUAAAGAUGGAUGAGUGUACUGCACACUGGGGAGGAGGGUCAAAUAUUUGAGGUUUGUUUUGCAAAGUGGAUUCCUCUUUGUUCUUCUUGUAUGGAAAUGGGUUCUGUAUUGGUUUUGGUACUCAUGGGUUGUUGAAGGAUGGGUCAAAUGCAGAGGACGAAUUUCCCAAUAGUAAACAAACAUUACAAAGUAUUACAAAAUCCCUUUAACAACUUUUUGAACUGAACCUUUUACCCUCAGUUCAGUAGAGAU